UCAGGUGACUCCGCGCUCGCGGCGCUCGGGGAGGCCUUGACGUCAGGCGAGCCUAGUCUCACUCGCUCCUUGGCAGGUGCGGCGCCACUUGUGCGGUCUCGUCAGGUUCCAGCGGGUCCCGGCCGAACCAGUGCUCAGCGGAUUCGUAGAGAGGAGAGGUGUACUCUGCAGGUCCCUGAUGAACCAAGGGAACCCUCCGCCGUAUCCGGGCCCCGGUCCGACAGCCCCGUAUCCCCCUUAUCCAUCACAACCAAUGGGGCCUGGGUUCUACCCUCCAGGACCUCCAGGGGGACCCUACCCACCUCCUCAGGGCGGGUACCCCUACCAAGGAUACCCACAGUACGGCUGGCAGGGCGGACCUCAGGAGCCUCCUAAAACCACAGUGUACGUGGUGGAAGACCAAAGAAGGGAUGACCUGGGCACAUCUACCUGCCUCACAGCCUGCUGGACGGCCCUCUGUUGCUGCUGUCUCUGGGACAUGCUCACCUGACCAGCCCAGCUCUCCUGUCCUGCCAGCUCUGCCGCCACCGCGCACGGCUGUGCCUGCCCCGCCUCUUCUGAUUGCUGAAAUCAACGACUAGCUCUGCACAGACAUUUCUACCUUCAACACAGUGGGAUUCUAGAUUAGCAGGGGUUGCUGCUGUUUAAUUCAGUGACUUGAUCUUUUUAAUGUUCAAAUCCAUUCUUAUUGGCCUUUCACAAAUGUGCUAAAUGACUUUUCUCUUUAUUUUUUUGGCCAAAGGCUUAGUUAUAAAAUAUAUAUUUAUAAUUUUAGAAUUAUAUUCAGGUUUGAUGUAAUUUACCACUGAAU